CCAAUAGCGUAUAUUAAAGUUGUUGCAGUUAAAAAGCUCGUAGUUGAAUUUCGGGGUCAGUAAGUUGGUCGUGCCACUGGUAUGUACUGGCUUUACUGAUUCCUCCUUCUUGUAGAACCGUAAUGCCAUUAAGUUGGUGUUGCGGGGAAACAGGACUGUUACUUUGAAAAAAUUAGAGUGUUUAAAGCAAGCUAACGCUUGAAUACAUUAGCAUGGAAUAAUGAAAUAGGACGCUCGAUCCUAUUUUGUUGGUUUCUAGGAUUGACGUAAUGAUUAAUAGGGAUAGUUGGGGGCAUUAGUAUUCAAUUGUCAGAGGUGAAAUUCUUGGAUUUAUUGAAGACUAACUACUGCGAAAGCAUUUGCCAAGGAUGUUUUCAUUAAUCAAGAACGAAAGUUAGGGGAUCGAAGACGAUCAGAUACCGUCGUAGUCUUAACCAUAAACUAUGCCGACUAGGGAUCGGAUGAUGUUAAUUUUUUAAUGACUCAUUCGGCGCCUUACG
rnacentral:rRNA from 1 species